rnacentral:rRNA from 1 species
UCGAGCGAUGGAUUGAGAGCUUGCUCUCAAGAAGUUAGCGGCGGACGGGUGAGUAACACGUGGGUAACCUGCCCAUAAGACUGGGAUAACUCCGGGAAACCGGGGCUAAUACCGGAUAAUAUUUUGAACUGCAUGGUUCGAAAUUGAAAGGCGGCUUCGGCUGUCACUUAUGGAUGGACCCGCGUCGCAUUAGCUAGUUGGUGAGGUAACGGCUCACCAAGGCAACGAUGCGUAGCCGACCUGAGAGGGUGAUCGGCCACACUGGGACUGAGACACGGCCCAGACUCCUACGGGAGGCAGCAGUAGGGAAUCUUCCGCAAUGGACGAAAGUCUGACGGAGCAACGCCGCGUGAGUGAUGAAGGCUUUCGGGUCGUAAAACUCUGUUGUUAGGGAAGAACAAGUGCUAGUUGAAUAAGCUGGCACCUUGACGGUACCUAACCAGAAAGCCACGGCUAACUACGUGCCAGCAGCCGCGGUAAUACGUAGGUGGCAAGCGUUAUCCGGAAUUAUUGGGCGUAAAGCGCGCGCAGGUGGUUUCUUAAGUCUGAUGUGAAAGCCCACGGCUCAACCGUGGAGGGUCAUUGGAAACUGGGAGACUUGAGUGCAGAAGAGGAAAGUGGAAUUCCAUGUGUAGCGGUGAAAUGCGUAGAGAUAUGGAGGAACACCAGUGGCGAAGGCGACUUUCUGGUCUGUAACUGACACUGAGGCGCGAAAGCGUGGGG